AAUCAACGCUGGCGGCGUGCCUCAGACAUGCAAGUCGAACGAUUAAAGCUCUCUUCGGAGAGUGUAUAGAGUGGCGCACGGGUGAGUAACACGUAAGUAAUCUACCCUCGAGUGGGGAAUAACAACCGGAAACGGUUGCUAAUACCGCAUAAUGCAGCGGCACCGCAAGGUGACAGUUGUUAAAGAUUUAUCGCUUGAGGAGGAGCUUGCGGCAGAUUAGCUAGUUGGUAGGGUAACGGCUUACCAAGGCUACGAUCUGUAACCGGUCUAAGAGGACGGUCGGUCACACUGACACUGAAUAACGGGUCAGACUCCUACGGGAGGCAGCAGUCGGGAAUUUUGGGCAAUGGGCGAAGGCCUGACCCAGCAACGCCGCGUGAAGGAUGAAGUAUUUCGGUAUGUAAACUUCGAAAGAAUAGGAAGAAUUAAUGACGGUACUAUUUAUAAGGUCCGGCUAACUACGUG
rnacentral:rRNA from 1 species